CUCAGUGCGAAGGAGAGACGGACCCAUGGCUCGACACAAGCAACAACAGGAAACCGUACCAAACUGCGGAUGAAUGAAACAAAGGCAAACAUGCGAAAUUAGCAUGACAAAUUAAUCCAAAGCAGCGGCGAAGAACAUGCGAACCAGAGAAGAGUCCCAUCGGAACAGAGCAUGGGGUUGCCGCAUCUUGGCCACCAUGCUGAACGAAAUGGAUAAUUGACUGUAAUGUGUAUGAUGAAACAUUCAGAAAAUUCUCACAACUUCCAUCAAUUUGGACACAACUUCAGAAAUCUUUGCAACCCUUUUAGAAAAUUCUCA